CACGUAGUUAGCCGUGGCUUUCUGGUUGGAUACCGUCAACUAAUGAACAGUUACUCUCACUAGUGUUCUUCUCCAACAACAGAGCUUUACGAUCCGAAAACCUUCUUCACUCACGCGGCGUUGCUCCAUCAGACUUUCGUCCAUUGUGGAAGAUUCCCUACUGCUGCCUCCCGUAGGAGUUUGGGCCGUGUCUCAGUCCCAAUGUGGCCGAUCAACCUCUCAGUUCGGCUAUGCAUCACAGUCUUGGUGGGCCUUUACCUCACCAACUAACUAAUGCACCGCGGGUCCAUCUUCUAGUGACAGCCGAAGCCGCCUUUCAGCUCAAAACCCAUGCGGUUUUGAGAUUUAUACGGUAUUAGCACCUGUUUCCAGAUGUUAUCCCCUGCUAGAAGGCAGGUUACCCACGUGUUACUCACCCAUCCGCCACUCACCGCUCUUAAAUCACUUCGUGCAAGCACUCCGUUCAUUAACGUUAAGUUCGUUCGACUUGCAUGUAUUAGGCACGCCC
rnacentral:rRNA from 1 species